rnacentral:lncRNA from 1 species
UAAAGAAAAAAAAUUUUAUUUUUUAUUUUCUUUACUUAAUUCUGACCCAGUGUCUAGGACAAGUACUUGGCACAGAGCACAUAUAGUGAAUAUGGAAAAACAUGUGGUGAAUACAUAUUAUCAAAUUUGCCUACUUCAUAUGUAAAGGGUUUGCAAAAAGAACAAGACAACACAGGACACAUAAUUCAUAGUACUAUCUAUAGUGGUUACACAAGGAGUCAAUUACUAAGAAAGGACUCAUGCAAUUACGUUUCAUGGAUCUGUGCUGGGAAGGCCCGAAGGUCAACAAUGGAAUCUGAAAGUCUCUGCCAGCUGGAUGAAGAAUCUGUGACAGUUUGUUGGGGGUUCUGCACUGGAGCCAAGAAAUGAUACUGAAAAUAAAGACCAGGGCUAUCCUGAAAAGUACCACAGCUAUCCUCAGUGACAGUGAAGUCCUGAGCUCCUUCCAGCAAUGAGAACAGCUGAGUUCACAUCAGGAAGGCAAUGUGACAAGCUUCUGGAGAUUGAAUAGCACACCAUCU